CAGCAUUUGUUUGUAGAAGUCAACAUUAAUUAAUCUUCUCAACUGAAAUGAAAAUACUUUAUGGGAAUACACUGAGAACCCCCCGCCCCCGCCUGCCAGCACAUCAGAUGGAUUGAAGCAUUUGAAGGCAGAAUAUAGUUCACAGAAAAAGCAAACCUAAUUAUAACCUAAAGAUCAUACAUCAGGGUAGCUGGGACGAUGAAAGCAUCCCAAGACCUCCCUUUUCCAUCUGUGGCUGAUCACCUCUGGAACCCACAGCUAGCCGGCUGCUCCUCCACUAUCAGAUGGCGGCUGUCAGUCAUGGGCUUGUCACCGAGUGCAUCCGUCAUGCUCGGGCCAUGGGCCGGCACCUGUGUGUGUGUGUCCAGCUUAACGACAGAGAUUUUUGGAAAGACGCCCUAAGAUAGACAUACUU
rnacentral:lncRNA from 1 species